CGCUGGCGGCAGGCCUAACACAUGCAAGUCGAACGAAGCCUUCGGGCUUAGUGGCGGACGGGUUAGUAACGCGUGUGAACGUGCCCUUCACUACGGAAUAGUCCCGGGAAACUGGGUUUAAUACCGUAUACGCCCUUCGGGGGAAAGAAUUUCGGUGAAGGAUCGGCCCGCGUCUGAUUAGGUAGUUGGUGGGGUAACGGCCUACCAAGCCGACGAUCAGUAGCUGGUUUUAGAGGAUGAUCAGCAACACUGGGACUGAGACACGGCCCAGACUCCUACGGGAGGCAGCAGUGGGGAAUCUUGGACAAUGGGGGCAACCCUGAUCCAGCCAUGCCGCGUGAGUGAUGAUGGCCCUAGGGUCGUAAAGCUCUUUCGCCUGUGAUGAUAAUGACAGUAGCAGGUAAAGAAACCCCGGCUGACUCCGUGCCAGCAGCCGCGGUAUACGGAGGGGGGUUAGCGUUGAAGCC
rnacentral:rRNA from 1 species